rnacentral:rRNA from 1 species
GAUGAACGCUGGCGGCGUGCCUAAUACAUGCAAGUCGAGCGAACAGACGGGGAGCUUGCUCCUCUGACGUUAGCGGCGGACGGGUGAGUAACACGUGGAUAACCUACCUAUAAGACUGGGAUAACUUCGGGAAACCGGAGCUAAUACCGGAUAAUAUAUUGAACCGCGUGGUUCAAUAGUGAAAGACGGUUUUGCUGUCACUUAUAGAUGGAUCCGCGCCGCAUUAGCUAGUUGGUAAGGUAACGGCUUACCAAGGCGACGAUGCGUAGCCGACCUGAGAGGGUGAUCGGCCACACUGGAACUGAGACACGGUCCAGACUCCUACGGGAGGCAGCAGUAGGGAAUCUUCCGCAAUGGGCGAAAGCCUGACGGAGCAACGCCGCGUGAGUGAUGAAGGUCUUCGGAUCGUAAAACUCUGUUAUUAGGGAAGAACAAAUGUGUAAGUAACUAUGCACGUCUUGACGGUACCUAAUCAGAAAGCCACGGCUAACUACGUG